rnacentral:rRNA from 1 species
CACGUAGGGGGCGAGCGUUGUCCGGAUUUAUUGGGCGUAAAGAGCUCGUAGGCGGCUCAGUAAGUCAGGUGUGAAAACUCCAGGCUCAACCUGGAGACGCCACCUGAUACUGCUGUGGCUAGAGUCCGGUAGGGGAGCAUGGAAUUCCUGGUGUAGCGGUGAAAUGCGCAGAUAUCGGGAGGAACACCGGUGGCGAAGGCGGUUCUCUGGGACGUUACUGACGCUGAGACGCGAAAGCGUGGGGAGCAAACAGG